UCAGAACAGAAGCGAAUGCAAGGGAUAAUAUUGUAAAAAAAAAAUUACCCUGGCAUGGGUUCUGUCAAUAAAAAAUUAUUAUAAAAGAAAAUUAAAAGAAAAUUUUAAAAAAAAGAAAAAGAAAAAGCCAAUCAGCAGUAGAGGAGCUAAUGAUGUGAUUAAUAGGGUUGGUUUUUUUUUUUUUUUAAAGUCUUGGACCUAAUAGCUAUUCAUUGAAUGUCUCCAUAUGGUGCAGUAAACAGCAGUAGCUUGGAAUCAGGAAGACUUUUUCUCUUCCUGAGUUGAGGCUGGCCUCAGACACUUAUUAGCUCUGUGACCCUGGGCAAAUCACUUAACUUGUUUGCCUCAGUUUCCUCUAAUGUAAAAUGAGCUGAAGAAGGAAAUGGUGAACCACUCCCGUACCUGUGCCAAGAAAACACCAAAUGGGGUGAUGAAAAGUGAGACACAACUGAAACGAAUGAACACCAAAAGAGACAUCUCAAAUCUCCCUCUUCUAGAGGUCUUCUACUGUCUUUACAAAAGAUGCCAUCAUUCUGUUAGAGCUUCAGGUUCACAACAUUGGCUUUCUCUUUUUCUCCUCUAUCUCCACAAGCCUAGUGGCCAAUCAUCUACUAACUUUUAUGCCUCCACACUAUUUCUUUCCAUCUGACCCCUUCUCCCUGCACACAUUCCCAAGGACACAUAGCAAAAGAGAGAAAUAAAACAGAAGCAUGAAAAUGAUGAUGUUAGUUGUUAGGCACAUUAAAGUAGAGUCUCCCCGCCCUCCCCGCCUCCCCACUAAGAGCAGAGCCAAUUUGCCUCCUUGCUUGCAAGCCAUUUCCCUCCCUUUGAAAUUAAACUUUUGUUUGAUUCCUGCCUUUCCUGUCUCUAACCUGCUCUGUUCAACUCUGACCACCCACAGAUUAGAAGCUGGUUUGGUUCAAUUAGUGGCAGGAGUAGGGUGGACAUGGAAUAGGGCCAGUAGACUCUGGUACCAAUAGGAGAUUUAUUUGUCUGGAAUCCGAUCCCCCUCCCCUGGUGAGUCCUCUGCCCUUGUUUUUGCUUCAGUCUUGCUGUUUUGGUUCAACUUUGCAUUUUUGGAGAGGAAAAUGCUAGGGCUCUCUCAUGACCUGAUUUGUCUUGGAUCCCUCUGCUGCCAAACUUGUGGGUGCAGACUCCUGGAUCAUCUGAAGAAAGCCCCUGCUUCAGAGUGGAUGGUAGAACUCUCCAUGAACCUCGAAGUUUAUCUAAUACAGGCUCAGACGAAGCCAAUAUCCAUGAGACUACAGUUCCAAGAUUUCAAAUAAGGGCUGAAUAUUAGCCUUGUUUUUUCUCCUCUUCCUUUUCAUUAUGGGCCCUGAUUCAAGCACAAGUUGGUAUUUUCUCUGAUUCCAUUCUUGGCCCAUCCCUUUUCUGCUUGCAAGCAAACAAAGGCUAGCAAUGACACCUGGAACACAAUUCUUGCCUAGUUCCCCUCAAGAGAAAAGGUAUUUAAGAAGUUGAAGUUCCUCCAUUCCUUGCUGGAGGCUGGAGGCUGGCGGCUGUAUACUGGACGCUGGAUUCUUUGGGAUGACAGUCUCUUCCAGCCUUGGGACCAACAUGGAUUCCUUGGUCCCAGUAUAUCUUUAUCUCUGUCUGACUGGAUAAUCUGAGACGAGAGUCCUGUCCAGUCAAUCUUACUCUCCCAUUAAUAAAAUAUUAAAACUCUCUAAUCUCUCUCCUGCCUCAG